GACGAACGCUGGCGGCGUGCCUAAUACAUGCAAGUCGAACGCAGUGGGGACGGGUGAGUAACACGUGGGUAACCUCCCAUCAGAGGGGAUAACACUUGGAAACAGGUGCUAAACCGAUACUGAUGGAUGGACCCGCGGUGCAUUAGCUAGUUGGUGAGGUAACGGCGCACCAAGGCCACGAUGCAUAGCCGACCUGAGAGGGGGAGCGGCCACACUGGGAAUGAGAAACGGCCCAGGAUCCUACGGGAGGCAGACGUAGGGAAUCUUCGACAAUGGACGAAAGUCUGACCGAGCCAUGCCGCGUGGUUGAAGAAGGUUUGCGGGUCGUAAAGCUCUUUUGUUGGAGAAGCGGUAUCUAACCAGAAAGCCACGGCUAACUACGUGCCAGCAGCCGCGGUAAUUC
rnacentral:rRNA from 1 species